UGAGGACUCUAGAAUGUGUGAACCAUUCAAC
rnacentral:piRNA from 1 species